CGCCUGUUUAUCAAAAACAUCUCUUUUAGGGUUUUCUGCAUUAAAAGUAGGGCCUGCCCGGUGCUUUACGGAGUAAACGGCGGCGUUGGCUUUAAAGUAGCAUGGUAAGUCGGCCCUUAAUUGGGGUCUGGGAAGAAAGGUUUGACGUGGUUGUGACUGUCUCUGUUGUAAAAAUUYAAAUUUUCUUCUAAGUGAAAAGACUUAGUUUUAAAUAAAAGACGAGAAGACCCCGAUGAGCUUAUUAUGUUUUUAGAUGAAAUAAAGUUUAGAGAUUAUCUUUAAUUGGGGCAAUUGAGGAGUAAAGAUAACCUCCUUUUUAAUAACGAAGAGCCUUUAGGGAAAGAGAAAAGGAGAAAGCUACCACGGGGAUAACAGCGUGAUUCCCAUUCAGAGACCUUAUUGAAGUGGGUGUUGACGACCUCGAUGUUGGAUUAAAGUGCCUCCGCGGCGCAGAAGCUGUGGUAGUAAGUCUGUUCGACUUUCGAAACUUUACA
rnacentral:rRNA from 1 species